rnacentral:tRNA from 1 species
GGGCCAUUAGCUCAGCGGUAGAGCAGAUGACUUUUAAUCAUUUGGUCGUAGGUUCGAAUCCUACAUGGCCCA